UACAGAGGGAGCAAGCGUUAUCCGGAAUGAUUGGGCGUAAAGCGUCUGUAGGUGGUUUUUUAAGUCUACUGUUAAAUACGUUGGCUCAACCAACGGCAGGCAUUGGAGUACUAAUAAACUAGAGUAGGGUAGAGGUAAAGGGAAUCCCUAGUGUAACAGUGAAAUGUGUAGAUAUUAGGGAGAACACCAGCGGCGAAGGCGCUUUACUGGGCCCCAACUGACACUGAGAGACGAAAGCUAGACCAGCGAAUAGGAUUAGAUACCCUAGUAGUUCUAGCUGUAAACGAUGGAAACUAAGAGGGGGUAUACCCCCUUCUGUAGCUAACGCGUUAAGCUUCCCGCCUGGGGAGUAUGCUCGCAAGAGUGAAACUCAAAGGAAUUGACGGGAGUCCACACAAUAGGUGGAUUAUGCGGUUUAAUUUGAUGCAACGCAAAGAACCUUACCAGGGUUUGACAUGUCUCGUAUUUUUCAGAAAUGGAAAAGUGUCUCCCCUUUCAAAAAGGGAGAAACGAGAACACAGGUGGUGCAUGGCUGUCGUCAGCUCGUGCGUUGACGUGUAUGGUUAGGUCCCGCAACGAGCGCAACCCUCGCCCUUUGUUGCCAUCGGGUAAAGCCGGGCACUCUAAGGGGACUGCCAGCGACAAGUUGGAGGAAGGAGAGGAUGACGUCAAGUCAUCAUGGCCUUUAUGCCUAGGGCCGCACACGUGCAACAAUGGCCGGUACAGACGGAGGCAAUGCCGAGAGGCGGAGCAAACCCGAGAAAACCGGUCCCAGUUCGGAUUGAGGUCUGCAACUCGACCUCAUGAAGUCGGAAUCGCUAGUAAUCGCAUAUCAGAACGAUGCGGUGAAUACGUUCCCGGGCCU
rnacentral:rRNA from 1 species